UGCAGGCAAGGCAGCUCCGCUCCCCAAGAUGAGGGGUCUGCAUGCUUGGUGAUGCCCAGCAUGUGUGGGCGGCAUGCGCCGUUUACUGGCUUCGCCGCCCUCAUCCAAACACACCAAGUUUGGCAGUGAGUAGGAAGCUGGCGAGGUAGACAACCUCGCCGGGCCAUCACAGACUCCUCCUUGGCCUCCCGCAGCAUCUCCGACCCCCCUCCCCAUGGGCACAGGCUGCAGGCCCUGGAGAGGCAGGUCAGCCUCGUGUUCUGCACCCCAAGAUGAUGGUCUGCAUGCUCGGUGACACUCAGUAUGUGGGGGAGGAUAGGCCGCCGUCUUCCAAGCAUGACAAGUUCGGGUGAGGCAAGCAGA